rnacentral:rRNA from 1 species
GUCUUUUUGAUUUAAAUAUAAAGUUUAACCUGCCCAUUGAAAAUUUUAAAAGGCUGCAGUAUUUUAACUGUACAAAGGUAGCAUAAUCAAUAGUUUUUUAAUUGAAAACUUGUAUGAAUGGUUGAAUGAGAAAUUAACUUUUUUAUUUAAAAUAUUGAAUUUUACUUUUUAAUUAAAAGGUUAAAAUUUUUUUUAAAGACGAGAAGACCCUAUAGAGUUUUAUAAUUAAUUAUUUAAUUUUAAUAAAGUUUAUUAAUAGUUUUAUUUAAUAAAUUAUUUUAUUGGGGUGAUAGUAUAAUUUAAUUAACUUAUAUGUAUUUUUACAUUAAUAUAUGUAUAAUUGAUCCAAUAGUAUUGAUUAAAAAUUUAAAUUACCUUAGGGAUAACAGCGUAAUUUUUUUUUAAGUUCAUAUUAAUAAAAAAUUUUGCGACCUCGAUGUUGGAUUAAGAUUUAAUUUUAGGUGCAGCAGUUUAAAAUUUAAGUCUGUUCGACUUUUAAUUCUU